GACGAACGCUGGCGGCGUGCUUAACACAUGCAAGUCGAACGGAAAGGCCCUGCUUGCAGGGUACUCGAGUGGCGAACGGGUGAGUAACACGUGGGUGAUCUGCCCCGCACUUCGGGAUAAGCUUGGGAAACUGGGUCUAAUACCGGAUAGGACCGCACUUUAGUGUGUGUGGUGGAAAGCUUUUUCGGUGUAGGAUGAGCUCGCGGCCUAUCAGCUUGUUGGUGGGGUAAUGGCCUACCAAGGCGGCGACGGGUAGCCGGCCUGAGAGGGUGUACGGCCACAUUGGGACUGAGAUACGGCCCAGACUCCUACGGGAGGCAGCAGUGGGGAAUAUUGCACAAUGGGCGCAAGCCUGAUGCAGCGACGCCGCGUGGGGGAUGAAGGCCUUCGGGUUGUAAACUCCUUUCGCUAGGGACGAAGCUUUGUGUGACGGUACCUAGAUAAGAAGCACCGGCUAACUACGUGCCAGCAGCCGCGGUAAUACGUAGGGUGCGAGCGUUGUCCGGAAUUACUGGGCGUAAAGGGCUCGUAGGUGGUUUGUCGCGUCGUCUGUGAAAUUCUGGGGCUUAACUCCGGGCGUGCAGGCGAUACGGGCAUAACUUGAGUGCUGUAGGGGUAACUGGAAUUCCUGGUGUAGCGGUGAAAUGCGCAGAUAUCAGGAGGAACACCGAUGGCGAAGGCAGGUUACUGGGCAGUUACUGACGCUGAGGAGCGAAAGCAUGGGUAGCGAACAGGAUUAGAUACCCUGGUAGUCCAUGCCGUAAACGGUGGGCGCUAGGUGUGAGGGUCUUUCUACGACUUUCGUGCCGUAGCUAACGCAUUAAGCGCCCCGCCUGGGGAGUACGACCGCAAGGUUGAAACUCAAAGGAAUUGACGGGGACCCGCACAAGCGGUGGAGCAUGUGGUUUAAUUCGGAGCAACGCGAAGAACCUUACCAAAUCUUGACAUCCUCUGACCCCUCUAGAGAUAGAGUUUUCCCCUUCGGGGGACAGAGUGACAGGUGGUGCAUGGUUGUCGUCAGCUCGUGUCGUGAGAUGUUGGGUUAAGUCCCGCAACGAGCGCAACCCUUAAGCUUAGUUGCCAUCAUUAAGUUGGGCACUCUAAGUUGACUGCCGGUGACAAACCGGAGGAAGGUGGGGAUGACGUCAAAUCAUCAUGCCCCUUAUGAUUUGGGCUACACACGUGCUACAAUGGACAAUACAAAGGGUAGCGAAACCGCGAGGUCAAGCAAAUCCCAUAAAGUUGUUCUCAGUUCGGAUUGUAGUCUGCAACUCGACUAUAUGAAGCUGGAAUCGCUAGUAAUCGUAGAUCAGCAUGCUACGGUGAAUACGUUCCCGGGUCU
rnacentral:rRNA from 1 species